rnacentral:lncRNA from 1 species
AGCCAACCCUCCCCACGUCGGACUCGGGACAGCUGCGACGUUAGGAGCCCGGCUCACUUGGAUCCCCGCUCUUCACACAGGGCUGCUCCCCCACCUUCUAGUCCUCACACCCAGGGAGGACAAAAGGUACUUUCUACACUAUGCCCAGGGCGAAGGCUUGUUGGUCGGACUUGGUAAAGGAUGGAAAAGCACACUGAAGAGGCCUUCUCCCCUCUGAGAUGGGGAGCAAGGGGGGGGGGGAUGGGAGGAGGGCACAGGAGCAGCUGCAGUAGACCAGAGGAAGGACUAAGAAUUGGGCCAAAGGUCUUUAUUGGAUGAGAAGAUUGGAGAAAGAUGGUGACAAGAAAAAAAAUGUGCACUCUUCCACAGCUGUAUGCCUCAAAAUCCCUGGCUGGUGGAGAAGCUACUGACUGGACCCAAGACGUGGAGAGCUGACUUCUUUUAUAUUGGAUUUUCUGAAGAGACUAGCCUCAGGAGAGACUUCCCCAAGUCCUUGGCUUUGCUGAGGCCUAAGGACUAACUCUUCCUGUCUUGGUUGAGCCAGGGACUGGGAGUAAAUUACUUAGUUCUUAGGUUAGAUAUCUUACCCUAUACUCUCUCUGAUUUUCUUACUUCACUCUAUAUUUUGUAAAUAAAUUGUAAAUAAAUCUCUUUUGGAAU